rnacentral:lncRNA from 1 species
UUUCUAUAUACAUUGAAGUAUAUAACCAUAUGUUCACUUAUUAUCAAUUUAUACAGUUAUUAACGUAUAUGUCCAUUGAUUUAUAUACCACACACACACACUCACACAAUCGUUAAACACUCACUCACACACAAACACACACUCACACUCACAUUCACAGAUAUAUAUACUACACAUAUGUGCGUGUUAUGUAUGGCUUGAUGUCUGUAUAUAUACGAUAUAUAUAUACUCAUAUGUUUAUGCAUGUAUGUACACAGUUGCUUGCUAUCAGUCAUAUACAAUUAUCAAUGUAUAUAUACACUGCGAUCCCCACGCACAUUGAUACGUACAUGUAUAUUAUCUGAUGUGUAUAAAAUACGUGUAUUAAUUAGUGUAUACAUACACAAUAUAUAUGCACUUAUCAACUUGUUAGGGUGCAUGUGCAUACCCAUAUCAGUGUAUAUAUAUACAUUGAUAAUUGUAUAUAACUGAUAGCAAGCUACUAUAUAAACAAAUAAUAAGUGUAUAUAUAUGGUCAUAAACAUUAAUGUAUAUAGAAAUGUAUAUAUUAAUACACUGUAUAUAUAUAAAUAUGCACUUUACACAAACACACAUACGUUAUCUAUACAAACAUCACACACACACGUAUCAAUGUAGUUUUUAUUCGAGAGACCAUGAUGUCCAGUUUUUGGGUGCUGGAUUGGGUGCAUCGGUUAGACCGAGGAUUAUUUACCAGCGAACAGGUGGUCCUCGGGAGGGGCACCCUUUCUCUAGAUAUGGAUACCUGGUUCUGAAAGGGGCUAUAUUGUGUGUAUUCGAACUUUGAAAACCCUCAUUAGUGCUUCUCUUUUUUCCUCAUGGGUGGCCUUAAAUGAAAAAGAGGGUAUAUAUCACUGAUUAUCAGUUUAUACAAUUAAUAAUGUAUAUGUAUAUGGAUUUAUAUACUACAUACACAAACACACACACACGCAC